rnacentral:misc_RNA from 1 species
UGUGACAAGGCCACCUGAGCGAUCC